rnacentral:rRNA from 1 species
GUGGCGAACGGGUGAGUAACACGUGAGCAAUCUGCCCUUGACUCUGGGAUAACUGCGGGAAACUGUAGCUAAUACCGGAUACUUUCCUCGCUGGGCAUCCAGCGGGGAAGAAAGAAUUUCGGUCAAGGAUGAGCUCGCGGCCUAUCAGCUAGUUGGUGAGGUAAAGGCUCACCAAGGCGACGACGGGUAGCCGGCCUGAGAGGGCGACCGGCCACACUGGAACUGAGACACGGUCCAGACUCCUACGGGAGGCAGCAGUGGGGAAUAUUGCACAAUGGGCGAAAGCCUGAUGCAGCAACGCCGCGUGAGGGAUGAAGGCCUUCGGGUUGUAAACCUCUUUUAGCAGGGAAGAAGCGAAAGUGACGGUACCUGCAGAAAAAGCACCGGCUAACUACGUGCCAGCAGCCGCGGUAAUACGUAGGGUGCAAGCGUUGUCCGGAAUUAUUGGGCGUAAAGAGCUCGUAGGCGGUUUGUCACGUCUGCUGUGAAAAUCCGAGGCUCAACCUCGGACUUGCAGUGGGUACGGGCAGGCUAGAGUGCGGUAGGGGAGAAGGGAAUUCCUGGUGUAGUGGUGGAAUGCGCAGAUAUCAGGAGGAACACCAAUGGCGAAGGCACUUCUCUGGGCUGUAACUGACGCUGAGGAGCGAAGGCGUGGGGAGCGAACAGGAUUAGAUACCCUGGUAGUCCAU